CAGCCCGUUCCAAAUUAUUAUAUUCGUGGCUGUGAAUGGACGAAAUUGCCCUUAAGAAAUACUAAAUUUGUGAAGCUCAGGUUGCUAAUUAUCUAGGUUCCUAAGUUUGAAAAUAAAAUGGAAUUUAAUAAGGAUGGAACUUAGAUUUUUAGGUUAAAAUGUUAAAGUUUGGUGUUUGGAGAUUGGAAUAAGGACCACGUGGGAUCCCCACAUCCCUCAAAACCCUCCUCAUUUCCCGUUCACUGUCUAUCUCUCUUCCCUCACGACUCUCUCUCACUCUCAGUUCUCUCUCUUCCUCUCCGACGCUCAACCUCACCCAAAACCACCUAAAACAUAAACAAACGUCCAAGAUAAGACCACAUUUGGACUCCUGGAACUUCCACGAUCACGUAGACAUCAAUUUCAGGCUAAAAAAAGAUCACAGCGGGCUUAGUGAGGUCCCAAGGAAGCUCGGAGUGCUUCGUUGGAAGUUUUUGGACGUAAGAACACGGAGAUUGACAAGUUCAAAGUUUGGCCGGAGCUUUUCGAGGAAUUUUCCGGCGAAUCCCCGGCGAGUUAGGAGUCGAGUUUCCGGCGACCUCCGAGGCUUUCGAGGCAUUUUCCGGAAAAAAUACGGCUAACUAGGUGUUUUGCAAGGUACCAUUCUCUUUGUCUUUUCAAGGGCUACAACUUUCGUUUUUGAAUCACUUGAUUUCGUUGAGAAAAUGACAAAGUUAUGGCAAUUUGAAAAAACU